GACAGAGACUGCAAGCGUUAUUCGGAUUCACUGGGCGUAAAGGGUGCGCAGGCGGUCAGGUGUGUCAGAUGUGAAAUCCCGAGGCUCAACCUCGGAACUGCGUCUGAAACUACUCGACUAGAGUACUGGAGAGGGUAACGGAAUUCACGGUGUAGCAGUGAAAUGCGUAGAUAUCGUGAGGAACACCAGAGGCGCAGGCGGUUACCUGGACAGUUACUGACGCUCAGGCACGAAAGCAUGGGGAGCAAAAGGG
rnacentral:rRNA from 1 species